AACGAACGCUGGCGGCAUGCCUAACACAUGCAAGUCGAACGAGACCUUCGGGCCUAGUGGCGCACGGGUGCGUAACGCGUGGGAACCUGCCCUUAGGUUCGGAAUAACUCCCUUAAAGGGGUGCUAAUACCGGAUAAUGUCUUCGGACCAAAGAUUUUUCGCCUUUGGAUGGGCCCGCGUUGGAUUAGCGAGUUGGUAGGGUAAAAGCCUACCAAGGCGACGAUCCAUAGCUGGUCUGUGAGGAUGAUCAGCCACACUGGGACUGAGACACGGCCCAGACUCCGACGAGAGGCAGCAGUGGGGAAUAUUGGACAGUGGGCGAAAGCCUGAUCCAGCAAUGCCGCGUGAGUGAUGAAGGCCUUAGGGUUGUAAAGCUCUUUUACCCAGGAUGAUAAGGACAGUACCGGGAGAAGAAGCGCCGGUAAACACCGU
rnacentral:rRNA from 1 species